GACGAACGCUGGCGGCGUGCUUAACACAUGCAAGUCGAACGGAAAGGCCCUGCUUGCAGGGUACUCGAGUGGCGAACGGGUGAGUAACACGUGGGUGAUCUGCCCUGCACUUCGGGAUAAGCCUGGGAAACUGGGUCUAAUACCGGAUAGGACCCUCCUUUAGUGUGGGGGGUGGAAAGAUUUAUCGGUGUAGGAUGAGCCCGCGGUCUAUCAGCUUGUUGGUGGGGUAAUGGCCUACCAAGGCGUCGACGGGUAGCCGGCCUGCGAGGGUGGACGGCCACAUUGGGCCUGGGAUACGGCCCAGACUCCUACGGGAGGCAGCAGUGGGGAAUAUGGCACAAUGGGCGGAAGCCUGAGGCAGCGACGCCGCGUGGGGGAUGACGGCCUUCGGGUUGUAAACCUCUUUCGACAGGGACGAAGUGAAAAUGACGGUACCUGUAUAAGAAGCACCGGCUAACUACGUGCCAGCAGCCGCCGUAAAAC
rnacentral:rRNA from 1 species